rnacentral:rRNA from 1 species
UUUUCCCGGUUGGUCCUGCCGGAGGCCAUUGCUAUUGGGAUCCGAUUUAGCCAUGCUAGUCGCACGAGUUCAGACUCGUGGCGAAUAGCUCAGUAACACGUGGCCAAACUACCCUUCGGAACACAAUACCCUCGGGAAACUGAGGCUAAUAGUGUAUAUCGUACCACCACUGGAAUGAGUGGUACGCCAAACGCUCCGGCGCCGAAGGAUGUGGCUGCGGCCGAUUAGGUAGACGGUGGGGUAACGGCCCACCGUGCCAAUAAUCGGUAUGGGUCAUGAGAGUGAGAACCCAGAGACGGAAUCUGAGACAAGAUUCCGGGCCCUACGGGGCGCAGCAGGCGCGAAACCUUUACACUGCACGACAGUGCGAUAGGGGGAUCCCAAGUGCACAGGCAUAGCGCCUGUGCUUUUCGGCACCCUAAGGCGGUGCCAGAAUAAGGGCUGGGCAAGACCGGUGCCAGCCGCCGCGGUAAUACCGGCAGCCCAAGUGAUGGCCGAUCUUAUUGGGCCUAAAGCGUCCGUAGCUGGCCGCGCAAGUCCAUCGGGAAAUCCACCUGCUCAACAGGUGGGCGCCCGGUAGAAACUGCGUGGCUUGGGACCGGAAGGCGCGACGGGUACGUCCGGGGUAGGAGUGAAAUCCCGUAAUCCUGGACGGACCGCCGAUGGCGAAAGCACGUCGCGAGAACGGAUCCGACAGUGAGGGACGAAAGCCAGGGUCUCGAACCGGAUUAGAUACCCGGGUAGUCCUGGCCGUAAACAAUGUCUGCUAGGUGUGGCUCCCACUACGAGUGGGUGCUGUGCCGUAGGGAAGCCGCUAAGCAGACCGCCUGGGAAGUACGUCCGCAAGGAUGAAACUUAAAGGAAUUGGCGGGGGAGCACUACAACCGGAGGAGCCUGCGGUUUAAUUGGACUCAACGCCGGACAUCUCACCAGCAUCGACUGUGGUAAUGACGAUCAGGUUGAUGACCUUAUCCGAGCCUCAGAGAGGAGGUGCAUGGCCGCCGUCAGCUCGUACCGUGAGGCGUCCUGUUAAGUCAGGCAACGAGCGAGACCCGCACCCUUACUUGCCAGCAGUACCGCGAGGUAGCUGGGGACAGUAGGGGGACCGCCGUGGCUAACACGGAGGAAGGAACGGGCAACGGUAGGUCAGUAUGCCCCGAAUGUGCUGGGCAACACGCGGGCUACAAUGGUCGAGACAAAGGGUUCCUACUCCGAAAGGAGACGGUAAUCUCAGAAACUCGAUCGUAGUUCGGAUUGUGGGCUGCAACUCGCCCACAUGAAGCUGGAUUCGGUAGUAAUCGUGUGUCACAAGCGCGCGGUGAAUACGUCCCUGCUCCUUGCACACACCGCCCGUCAAAGCACCCGAGUGAGGUCCGGAUGAGGCGUCCACGAACGUCGA